rnacentral:rRNA from 1 species
GGUGGUAGUGUUAAUAGCACUAUCAUUUGACGUUAGCGACAGAAGAAGCACCGGCUAACUCCGUGCCAGCAGCCGCGGUAAUACGGAGGGUGCGAGCGUUAAUACGGAAUUACGUGGGACGUAAAGCGCAUGCAGGUGGUUUGUUAAGUCAGAUGUAGAAACGGCCCCGGGGCUACCAACCCUACGGUAAUUGCUAUUUAGAAACUGGCAGACUAGAGUACUGUAGAGGGGGUAGAAUUUCAGGUGUAGCGGUGAAAUGCGUAGAGAUCUGAAGGAAUACCGGUGGCGAAGGCGGCCCCCUGGACAGAUACUGACACUCAGAUGCGAAAGCGUGGGGAGCAAACAGGAUUAGACACCCUGGUAG